UACAGAGGUCUCAAGCGUUGUUCGGAUUCAUUGGGCGUAAAGGGUGCGUAGGCGGCGCGGUAAGUCGAGUGUGAAAUCUUGGAGCUUAACUCCGAAACUGCAUUCGAUACUGCCGUGCUUGAGGACUGGAGAGGAGACUGGAAUUUACGGUGUAGCAGUGAAAUGCGUAGAGAUCGUAAGGAAGACCAGUGGCGAAGGCGGGUCUCUGGACAGUUCCUGACACUGAGGCACGAAGGCCAGGGGAGCAAACAGG
rnacentral:rRNA from 1 species